rnacentral:lncRNA from 1 species
UGAAAAUCUUUUAAAAUGUUGCAUGAUGAGUUCCUGUAUGAUGAGAGUUUAAAUUCCUACCACAGCCAUAUAUACAUGCUUAUUAAACUAGAAACCGUACAUUUACUUUUUACUACCUUUGAGCAUUGAGUGUGGUCAAGCUGUGUAGACCCUAAGGAGCUUGUCAUGCGGUUAAAAUCAAGAUUCAUUUGCACGUUCACUCAUACAUGCUGCUUCUACUCCGGAAGUAUGCAUCCACAUACAUCCACUCAUUUCCAUCUCCAGAUUCACCCAAAAUUAUUCUACUCCUAUCCAGGAGAGAAUAGCCAAAAACAUUAUCCUAUCCCUGUUAUUCCUCGUGAAAUAAAAGCUCAAGAUAUUUUGGUUACUACCACUUGCUACAUUAUUCCAGGAGGGUGAGUGCUCUAAAAAAGAGAAGAAAAAGGUAAAAUAUGAGGAAAUAAGGGUCAAGUUCCCGGAACCUCGAAGAAAAGAAAAAGUGAGACGAGAGGUAAAAUUAGACAAGUAUCAGACAGUAGAAUUAGGGGUACAAGAUACCCACCUGAGAGAAAAGAAAAAGAAAAUAUAGAGCAUCUCAUUCUCCUCAAAAAGCUUCAAACUGCAAGGAAGGUAUGUAUCCCCUCAAAAGAGCAAAAGUAGAAUUAGACUUUCACCAUUGUUUUCACCAUUAUCACCAUCAUCACCAUACACCAUUCAUUCGCUACACAUGCACAUCUUGAUUUGACUUAUUGACUUGUUUCUCUAGAUCCACAGUUUGAUUAUGCAAUAAAUGUCUUGUAAGUAUGUAUACUUUAUCUCCCACCUAUGAGCUCUAGAUAUCGAAGCCUCAUUAGAGUAGGAUGAGAGAGAAGGCAAUAUCACUAUGCCUCAUACCACAAAUCCUACAUACUUUGAGAGAAGGCAUAUAUCAUCACUGCCUUGGUGAGGAUCCAAAAAUACCACAAAAGGGAGAUCUGAGAGAGUUGAGCAAGGAAUCUCUGAGUUUUAUUUGAAAACCGGCAAAAACUACAGAGCUAUAGCUGAUCAAGGAUAAGAGACAUGGCGCUUGACUAGACCGUUCUAUCUUUUAACUGCUCA